rnacentral:rRNA from 1 species
AUGAACGCUAGCGGGAGGCCUAACACAUGCAAGCCGAGCGGUAGAGUUUCUUCGGAAACUUGAGAGCGGCGCACGGGUGCGUAACACGUGUGCAACCUACCUUUAUCUGGGGGAUAGCCUUUCGAAAGGAAGAUUAAUACCCCAUAAUAUAAUGAUUGGCAUCAAUUAUUAUUGAAAACUCCGGUGGAUAGAGAUGGGCACGCGCAAGAUUAGAUAGUUGGUGAGGUAACGGCUCACCAAGUCAAUGAUCUUUAGGGGUCCUGGGAGGGAGAUCCCCCACACUGGUACUGAGACACGGACCAGACUCCUACGGGAGGCAGCAGUGAGGAAUAUUGGACAAUGGGUGAGAGCCUGAUCCAGCCAUCCCGCGUGAAGGAUGACGGUCCUAUGGAUUGUAAACUUCUUUUGUACAGGGAUAAACCUACCCUCGUGAGGGUAGCUGAAGGUACUGUACGAAUAAGCACCGGCUAACUCCGUG